CCUACGGGAGGCUGCAGUAGGGAAUCUUCCACAAUGGGCGCAAGCCUGAUGGAGCAACAUCGCGUGAGUGAAGAAGGGUCUCUGCUUGUAAAGCUCUGUUGUUGGAGAAGAACGUGCGUGCGAGUAACUGUUCACGCAGUGACGGUAUCCAUCCAGACAGUCACGGCUAACUACGUGCCAGCAGCCGCGGUAAUACGUAGGUGGCACGCGUUAUCCGGAUUUAUUGGGCGUAAAGCGAGCGCAGGCGGUUGCUUAGGUCUGAUGUGAAAGCCUUCGGCUUAACCGAAGAAGUGCAUCGGAAACCGGGGAACUGGAGUGCAGAAGAGGACAGUGGAACUCCAUGUGUAGCGGUGGAAUGCGUAGAUAUAUGGAAGAACACCAGUGGCGAAGGCGGCUGACUGGUCUGCAACUGACGCUGAGGCUCGAAAGCAUGGGUAGCGAACAGGAUUAGAUACCCGUGUAGUC
rnacentral:rRNA from 1 species